GGAAAAGAAAGGGAAUUUUACUGUAACUGGGAGCAAUGGCAGAUUUUUAAGAGUAAGGAAUAAGUAUGGAUGCUGACAGUGGUUCUUAAUGUCUGAGGAUGAGUUUUUGUUUAGGCAUGAAUAACUGAAGAUGCAGGAGAAAUUCUCUUAAUGGGAGGAGAAGUAAUGCUGGAGAAGCGGUCUGAAUUUAUUUCACGCAAUACUUUUUUAAUAACAGUGUCGAUUAAAGACACCUGCUGAAGGUCUGUAAUGCUGGUUUACUGGGGAGAAAAAAUAACAAAGUUCUUUAGCCAUCCUGUCUUCGGUUCAAUAUUAUGGACUGUUAAAAGGGGGUUUAUGUGUGCAGUGUUAUUAACCGAGAUUCUGCUCAAAUUGAAGUCAGGCCCACAAACCUUGCUUUCUAUAGGACCUUGCUAGGUUUCUAAAAGAAUUUAAAACUGUACAAGAUAAUUAGUACGUUCUUGCUAUAUUUAGGAUAUUUUAAAGGCAGUCAGUCUUGGUAGAUAUGUUUCUGAACACUUGUGCUCUCUCUUAUCACAUGUGAUUUCUUUCUAGUGAGGUUAAAGUGCAACAAAAAUGGACCAAUGUCCUGUAUGAAGUCAUUACUAUUACUAGAGAGAAGAAGAAAAUCUACCUCCAAAGUGACCAAAGUAUAACUUGUAAUAGAACACCCAAUAUUUUCUGCUGGUUUUGUCAAGGCUAGAAGAUAUGGGCUCAGUUAUGAGACACGUUGCGGCAGAUGGCGAUGGGGACGGAACCCCGAAGACUGUGGCCUGGAAAAGAAAUUGAAGUCUGAGUUUAUAGCGAGCGCAAUGUUGUCUAACUAUGUUUAAUAUCGCCAUUUGUUUAAGCUUAAAUUAUGACGAUGAAGAUAAAGUAAUAACACACUGCGUUUUCAUCACUUGAGUUUGGAGAGGCCUCGUCUUUUUCCGUGCCUGUAGUCCUGAUGAUGAUUCCUUUGGCAGCUCUGCCGGCGAUAAGAGGAAUAACUCACCGCUGUCAGGGAAGCUGGCUGUUUCAUCACUGACAUGAGAGCCCGGCGUAACUCCAUGGUGAUCGCUGUCUAAAUGACUUAUGUAAUUUCUUCAUCUACUUUUUGAUUGAGGAGUGAUAACUCAGGCGAUGAGUUAUUUGGCAUCAGCCUCAGAGACAAUCUGUUUUCCUUAAAUAAAUCCUGAGGCACCUUUCAGCCACCCAGUUUUAAAAUAAGCCUGUAGUGGAUCGGGUCUGAUGUGCUUGGCAGAUUUGGCCAAAGGAUGAAGUUAGGAUUUGCUGUCAUUAUUCCGCUUUGUUUAUUGUUCUGUCAUUAAGUGAGAGUUCUAGAUGUAGUACUGAGGAAAAUGAGAAGUGGGGCGAAAGGCAGUUUUUGUGUUACAGCACAGGGGUAUGGCAGGGCAUUUUGUCCCUGCUGGCAGAGGCACUAUUUUGCUCAAAAGCACACAGUGUUGUCCAAGAACCAGAGAGGAGAAUGCACACCAACACCAGCCUGGAUCCGUAGCCUGGGAUGUGGGUGAUGUACCCCAGAGAAGGGAAAAGAGUAAUCAAUUUUUCUUCUACAGCUGAAUACAAAUCAGAGCUCAGAGUAUCUGCGUCUGAGGUUUAAAUGUAGAGUGCCAUUACACAAGGUAGCAAGUUGCUGCGUGUUACAUUUAGUAUGCAACAGGUUGAUUUACGCUGUGAGCCUGGCAGGAUUUCAGGCAAGGUUUUGCCACUGAUUUGUUGGGAACAGAAAUGGUUUCCUUGCUGAAAUCACAAAGAUGGGAGCCUUGGCUUGAGUUUUAUUUGCAGGGUUCCUAACGGAGCUGUGGAGUGCUAAAUAUAACCUGAAGAGCUGCGGAGGUGGUAGGUGUUUCAGGCUUCACCUUUGUUAAUAUCUGCUGUACACGUGCUUUUAUUAAAGCAAGACAAUUCAAUCUUACAGAAAGGGUUGAAGUUAAUGUUUACGUUAAACUAAUCAACUUACCAUGUUUCUCUUUUUCAACACUUUCAGGCUCUUUAGUUUAGACAGAGCAGUCGGUGACGGGUAUAAGCAAGCUUUACGGUACUUACGUUACAUGCAUAGGGCUCCAGUUAGGAUCUACAUCCCUUUGUAGCAGGUGUUAUGCACAAGUGCCUGGCGUGUUUUCUUUUUGAAAGUGUGCACAAUGCAAGCAGCAUCUUCAUCAGGCUUGUGUCUUCAUUUGGGUCACCGGAGCAAAGAUACCUACUCUCUUCUCAGUUCUGUUUACACUUUGAAAUGACAGUGCAGCGUUGUAUGGUUACUUUCAAAUAGCUCUUAACUAUGCAAAGGUUAGUAUUCACCAAAGGAAAAAAGGAAUUGAAUGAUAAUAGAUUUUAUGUGGGAGGCUCAGCCUUGGAUCUGAGAGCAGUCACCCAAAACAAGCGAGAAGAGAGUUCUGACGAAGUGUUGUCAUUCUUUCUUUUCUCUCACUUUAUGCUGACCUUUUUCUGUUUUUUCCAUUACAUGUGCAUAAGUAGAUUUUUAUUGGUAUUUUCCUUGUAGUUUAGGAGGUGUUCCUUCAUGGAAAAGUGGGACGUGUGGUCUUCCUCAGUGUCCAGAAACAGACUGCUGUGUUGCACAGAAUCAAAAAACUAACAGAAUUUGUGGCAACAGGUGAAGCAGGGUUUCAGCUCCACCCUUCCCCACACGCAGGGAGUGCUUCAGAUGGAAAGCAGCCUGCUGUGUACCCCUGUGAGCAGUACUGGGAGCACCUCCUGUGGGUGUGGACACACCGUGCAUUCUGAGAGCAAAAUCUGCCAAUCAGGGCCAAUCACAUGAGUGAUUCUGCGGAGGCUGAAGCAGGAUUGCCGAACUCAUUGUCAUGCGUGGCUAAACAGAGAAUUGAACCUUGUGAAAGGCUGCUUUUCAGGAAUGGCUGCAACAGUCUUGGGUUCAAUAUUUUUGAAGAGCUGCAGAGGCCAAAAUAUCCACCACUAUUGUAUUCAUUUCAAUAUGAC
ensembl:lncRNA